rnacentral:rRNA from 1 species
GAUGAACGCUGGCGGCGUGCCUAAUACAUGCAGGUCGAGCGAACGGACGCGACGCUUGCUUUUCUGAUGUUAGCGGCGGACGGGUGAGUAACACGUGGAUAACCUCCCUAUCAGUCUGGGAUAACUUCGGGACACCGGCGCUUAUACCGGAUAAUCUUUUGCUCCGCAUGGUUCAAAAGUGAAAGACGGUGUUGCUGUCAGUUAUCGCUGGAUCCGCGCUGCAUUAGCUAGUUGGUACGGUCACGGCCUACCAAGGCAACGAUGCAUAGACGACCUGAGGGGGUGGUCGGCCACACUGGAGCGGGGACACGGUCCAGACUCCUGCGAGAGGCAGCAGUAGGGAAUCUGCCGCAAUGGGCGAAAGCCUGACGGAGCAACGCCGCGUGAGUUAUGAAGGUCUUCGGAUCGUAAAACUCUGUUAUUAGGGAAGAACAUAUGUGUAAGGAACUGUGGACAUCUUGACGGUACCUAAUCAGAAAGCCACGGCUAACUACGUG